ACUACAUUUUGUUCAGCUUAAGCUACCUUUCAAAAAAACUUUCACCUUUAGGGUAUCUAUAAAAAAGGUUAAGGUUUAGUUUUCCCUCAUCUACCACAAAAUUAAAAUAGACGAAAGCCAGCAAAGUCAACAGUUUUUUCCGCAUUCUCGUUCUUCUUUUUUUUUAAAAAAGCCACAAAUGUGUGUGUGCCAAAAUUCGAAAAGAAGGGAAUAUGAGUUGUGUAGACCAUGACCAAGAAAGAAAAGAAAAAACAACAAGACCUAUAAAAAGACCUCCUGAAAAGCAGUUUGCGCCUUCAGGCAAGUAUCAAUAAAGGGCCAUGUAAGCCACAAAAGCAACAGCAUAAGCAAACGAAAAACCAAAAGGAAAAGCCAAAAGAAAAGGUCAAUGUGAAAAGAAAAGUCGCCACCAAACAGAAGUAAGAAAUACAAAAAAAAAACGGAAAAGAAAAGGCGGCUAAGGCAAACGAAGCGUGGCUAUAAAAAAAAAUACGGCAAAGCAUCUCGUAAAAGCCGCAACGAUACGCACCCGCAAGAGAAAGUAAGAAGGAAUAAAAUAAACAAAAAACAGGACAAGCGGCCAAAACUGGGGACCAUUCAAAUUCAAACACCGCCGAGCCUCAGUCGUAAAGUUAAAGCGAUUUAUUUUAUUCAUUUUAAAGCCAACAACUUUUAGCGAAAACACCAAAAAUGGCAAGUGUUGCGUAUUGCCUGCAAGCCAUUUUUCAUUAACUGAAAGAAAACUCAAGAGUGAAGGCUCAAGCCCAAUUCAUACCAACCCACGGAUCCAGGACAAUGACGUCAGGAGAUAAUGCAAGGGGAAUACAUGUACAAACAUAUCUGUAUAUGUGUAUGAGUGAAGAGAGGCUGAGUGGGCGUCCUGAGAUGGUUGGAGGCGGCUCAUCUUCAAAGACUGCCGAAAUUGAGGAGCAGGUAAUAAAAUAAUAAUAAAAUGCUUGUUUUGAUUUUUGCUCCUCUGCCAAAAAUAGCAACAGAUUGCUGAAAGGCAUCCAUCAUUAUUUUUCGCUACACUGACAAAAUAACAAAUUAAAUUCAUUGAUUUCUUGUU